UGGGGAAUAUUGGGCAAUGGGCGCAAGCCUGACCCAGCAACGCCGCGUGAGGGAAGAAGGUUUUCGGAUUGUAAACCUCUGUCGCAAGGGACGAAGAAGUGACGGUACCUUGUGAGGAAGCCCCGGCUAACUACGUGCCAGCAGCCGCGGUAAUACGUAGGGGGCGAGCGUUGUCCGGAAUUACUGGGCGUAAAGGGUGCGUAGGCGGUUGCUUAAGUUGGAUGUGAAAUACCCGGGCUUAACUUGGGGGGUGCAUUCAAAACUGGGCAACUAGAGUUCAGGAGAGGGAAGCGGAAUUCCUAGUGUAGCGGUGAAAUGCGUAGAUAUUAGGAGGAACACCAGUGGCGAAGGCGGCUUUCUGGACUGACACUGACGCUGAGGCACGAAAGCGUGGGGAGCAAACAGG
rnacentral:rRNA from 2 species